rnacentral:rRNA from 1 species
ACGGGUGAGUAACGCGUGGGAAUCUACCCAUCUCUACGGAAUAACGCAUGGAAACGUGUGCUAAUACCGUAUACGUCCUUCGGGAGAAAGAUUUAUCGGAGAUGGAUGAGCCCGCGUUGGAUUAGCUAGUUGGUGGGGUAAAGGCCUACCAAGGCGACGAUCCAGAGCUGGUCUGAGAGGAUGAUCAGCCACACUGGGACUGAGACACGGCCCAGACUCCUACGGGAGGCAGCAGUGGGGAAUAUUGGACAAUGGGCGCAAGCCUGAUCCAGCCAUGCCGCGUGAGUGAUGAAGGCCCUAGGGUUGUAAAGCUCUUUCACCGGUGAAGAUAAUGACGGUAACCGGAGAAGAAGCCCCGGCUAACUUCGUGCCAGCAGCCGCGGUAAUACGAAGGGGGCUAGCGCUGUUCGGAUUUACUGGGCGUAAAGCGCACGUAGGCGGACUAUUAAGUCAGGGGUGAAAUCCCGGGGCUCAACCCCGGAACUGCCUUUGAUACUGGUAGUCUUGAGUUCGAGAGAGGUGAGUGGAAUUCCGAGUGUAGAGGUGAAAUUCGUAGA